rnacentral:rRNA from 1 species
AGCGAACGCUGGCGGCGUGCCUAACACAUGCAAGUCGAACGUGAACGGCUUCGGCCUAGUAAAGUGGCGUACGGGUGAGUAACGCGUGGAUAAUCUACCCUAGAGUUCGGAAUAACCGGCCGAAAGGCUGGCUAAUACUGGAUAGAGCGACGGGACUCGUAAAUGGGUCUUUCGGGAAAGGGAGCUAGCAAUAGCCCUCGUUUUAGGUAUGAGUCCGCGUCUCAUUAGCUAGUUGGUGGGGUAAGNGGCCCACCAAGGCAUUGAUGAGUAGCUGGUCUGAGAGGAUGAUCAGCCACACUGGAACUAGAAACACGGUCCAGACUCCUAGGGGAGGCAGCAGUGGGGAAUCUUGCGCAAUGGACGAAAGUCUGACGCAGCCACGCCGCGUG